rnacentral:lncRNA from 1 species
GCUGCAGGACGGUGUGCGCAGGGUCGGCCCCGGCCGCCGCCGCUCUAGGCCUCAGGCGUCCACCUCAGCUGCACUUCCGCCGGCGCUGCGUGUUUGGAGCAGUGUUCCGCUCUCGUGGCUGCACUUUCCGCGUGUCCUCCCAAUCUGCCGGCAUCCGCGCACCUCCGCGCCUUCCCACACUCUUGGCUGUAUCUCCGCCGUUGUCCCGUGCGGUCUGUUGCAGCCUCCUCGGCCCUGCGCAGAUGAAGACCCUCCCCCGGACGGCUUUGCGGGCCCUGCCUCAGCCGGCGCCCCCUUCUCUCCUGCAGGACCCGGACCCGCGCUGCAGGGGCUGAGUGCCCCCUGGGAGUGUCACGUGACUGCUGUCGUAUGGGAGAUGUGGUCAGGAAGAGACUGGCUAUGAGCCUCAGGUGGAUCUGUGUACACAGGCUCCGUGGAGGUUCCUCUUCAUGUCAGCCAGGCGCUAGACCCUGGGGCCUCAGGUUCUCUUUUUAAAGGGUGACCCCAGAGUUUCACUAGAGAAGAAACUCCCAGGCCUGUGGUACUGAGGCUCCCUAGCUUUCUGGUUCACAUCAGUGGGUGUAUUAGAUGGCUGGCGGAGUCCCCAGCCAUGUCGUCAGCCCUCAGCAGGGGGCUGACCUGCCUUUCUAUGCUACAGAUGUGUUGGUGGAAGGCUGAAACUCUGCAAUGGUGCUUUCAUUACUCGGUGACCCUGAAGAGGCAACACGGCGCCCCCCCUAGAGGCAUGACUGGCUCCCAGGUAACAGGUGACAUCUAGUUUGGCUGUGUAAACUGGGAGCUUGGGCCUGUUCCAUUGGGAUCCUCUGAGCUGUUACUUGAAGAUGGUGCUGGAAAGUAAUGCUUGUGGGCUUCUUCUAGAUUCAUCCACUGUGUGCACAGCAGCAGGACAGAAUGGAGAGGGAGGUCCCCACACGAAGCCUCACCAGGGCUCGCUGCCCUCUGUGCCGAGUCAUGGGAGAACCCUUCCCUCAGCACAGAGAUGAGGGGAAGCCCUGGGACUGGCAUCUCUUGAGUCCCGACACUGCCCUGGUUGGGGGGUGGGGGAGCUGUGGACAGGGAAGGCUGGCCCUGAGCCUCAAUGCUGCGCCUGGAUGACUUCAGCAACCAGGAGUUUUUCUCUUGAGUUGGCAGCUGCUUGUCAAUCUGCUCUCCACCCAUCCAUUCAAUAAACUGUACACAG